GUAGUCUCGCACAGAUGCAUAUCAAUAAGCGGAGGAAAAGAAACUAACAAGGAUUCCCUCAGUAACGGCGAGUGAAGCGGGAAGAGCUCAAAUUUGAAAUCUUGAAAGGUCACCUUUCACGAAUUGUAGUUUAAAGAAGUGUUUUCUGUUACGAUCGUAAUAUAAGUUCUUUGGAAUAGGACAUCACAGAGGGUGAGAAUCCCGUCUAUGAUUGCGAUUUGUAGCUUUGUGAUACACUUUCAAAGAGUCGGGUUGUUUGGGAAUGCAGCCCAAAACGGGAGGUAAAUUUCUUCUAAGGCUAAAUAUUGGCGAGAGACCGAUAGCGAACAAGUACCGUGAGGGAAAGAUGAAAAGAACUUUGAAAAGAGAGUUAAAUAGUACGUGAAAUUGUCAAAAGGGAAGCGUUUAACACCAGUGUUGUUUUCUGAAAAUCAACCUCUGUUAGCUUUAUGCAUGUUUGUUUAGACCUAAUCAGCUAUCUUGCAUGUUCUAUUGUUUGCAGUGGUGCACUUUUCAGUUUACAGGUCAACAUCAGUUUUUUUUACUGUAAAAAAGUUAAAGAAAGGUAGCUCAUGGCUCCGGUCGUGAGUGUUAUAGUCUUUUUCCUAUGCGGUAGGAGAGACUGAGGUCUGCAGUGUAGGCUAUUUGGCUAGAUACUCAGGUGCUAUGUGAUACCAUUUCAUAAACAACUUGUUGAUUAUGUUUUGUCUAUUGCAUACUCGCUUGUACUAUCAUACCUACGCUUAGGAUGUUGAGUCGUAGAGCACGCAG
rnacentral:rRNA from 1 species